AUGGGCGCCAGGGUCGCCGGCAGGACAGGAGAAGGCGCAGGUCCCUGCUCCCGGGGGCGGGGCCCGGGCGGUGGAGACGCCGACGGGUGCACGGAGGGAGGCGGCCUACCCGGGCCCUCACCUGCCCAUGCUCUGGUGGGCCCGCUUCCUCCCGCAGUGCAACGGCCACUACCUGGCGGCGGCGGCGGCGCCGGCGGCGGCUCCCCUGGCCUGCGGGGUUCGUGGCGCGCGCACCGGGCCGGCUUGGCGGCUGCUCCCGCCUGGUCAAUUCGAGGAGGCGGCGGCGGCGCCCGGCUCCCAGGCCCGCGGAGCUCGGGGCUGGCUGACCGGGACUUUCUGGCAGCUGCGGCAGCGGGUCCCCAGGCCGGCGGGGCCAGCCGCGCUGCCCCCGUGUCCCGCGCCAGGGCAGGAGCGCACGGCAGGCCCAGGGCGCGGGGCGCAGCCGGGCCUCGGCCGCCGGCCUCGAGUCGGGCCCCGAGGACGACGUUCCGCCGGGCUCAGCGGAGCUGGGGGCCGCGCACUCCACGAGCACCUCUGGGUCCUUUCCCCGCUCCACCGCCGGCUCGAUGCAUGGGGAAGAGUCCCUUCCCUAUGAGAGUCCGCCCCGCGCUGACAGAAGCGGGCGCACAGCGUGCACGCGGUGUGCCACACCCCGCCAGUGGCGCCCGAGAGCCCCCAGACUCCUCCGAGGGACCUCUUCUCCAGGCAGGGCCGCAGGAAGAGGGGGGCGAGGCGGCGGGGCAAGGACCGCGGCGACUGUGGGGGGGAUGGCAAUGGUCAGGGUGCUCAGGAGGGUCGUGCUUCCGCGCAGGGGGCCGACGUGUGUCCAAACACACUCGUCGGAACUCUGCAGGUGGAGGCGGGUCCCCACGUACCUGGCCCUCCGAGUGUUCUCCAAGCCGGCUGGGAAAAUCCCGGCGCAGGACAGGAGGAGCGUGGGAGGCGCUUGGCGGCAGUCAGAGCCUCGGGUCCUUUCUGCCCACACGCGCUGCCACGCGCACAGGUGGCGGUGGUGUGGGAUGGCGGCCUUCAGCGCGGCGUCCUGGCGGGCGGCCCCAGGGGGCAGGAGGGCCGCCUGGCCCCCGGGGGCGGCACUGA
rnacentral:lncRNA from 1 species